rnacentral:lncRNA from 1 species
GCCCAGCAUCCAGAAGGUCUGAUCUCUUUUAAAGAAGGAAGAGGAUGUCUGUCCCCGUUUAAACCACCCCGGAGCUCAAGGAGGUGGGAGGGGCCCUGGCUCCCAUCCCUGCAGCACACAUUCGGGCCACAAGGGGGCAACCAUCUCCUGCCAGGCCAGGGAGUGGCGCAGGAACGCGAAGCGCAGGCGCACAGUACCAAGGAGAGGACGGGGAAGUCGAGGAAAGGAGCGGCCGCCCGACCAAGCGGCUGCAGCCGCCACCGCCGCCGCCGCCGCCGCCGUCAUGGCGCAUGCUCAACUGAAUUUGCAGUCGAGCCGGUGGGGCGGAGGUUUUUAGGGUCGAGAGCCACGUUAGUCCAUGCACCGGCCCAGGAGGACGAGUGCUGAGCAGUGACAUUCACCAGCUGAGGACUCUGGUUGGAGAAGCAUCUCUGGGAGAUGAUAGAUUCAGAGUAAUCCAGCAGAACAGGCUUUGGCUGAAGGAGCCAGGGCUACAUCUAAGGCGGCAGUUGGAGCAAAUAGGAAGGAGAAAAUGGGUGAGUCUGCGGUCUAAUCUUUGAAUUUAAAAUAUCUGAUAGAAUUCUGUCAACCCUGGUGCUAGAGAGGCAAGUGAUUACACUCAAGAGAUGUUAGUGGCUUUUUUUUAAUUAGCAAAAAUCAAUAUUGUCUCCUCCCUUUAUUGGAAAAAAGGAAAGACAAAACCUUGCAAGAUAGCAUUCUGAUAUAAAGAGAUCAGAGAAGGACUGACCCAUUCUCUAUUCUAUCCUAUUCCCUUCCAAAAUAUAGGAUUCCCCAAUCUUCUGGGGAGAUGGCACCCCAAGUAUAUGGGAGCCAAGAAGGAUUUCACUGUGCCAGUUUGGCCUUUAUUAGAGAGCUAACCUCAGAAGUCAGAAAUCUAUGAGAUCAGGUCUUUUUCUUUUUUUUUUUAAUAUCCUUAUCUUUUGUCUUAGUAACAACUCUAAGGCAGGAGGGCAAGGGCUAGGCAAAGGGAGUUAAGAGACUGGCCUCUGGUCACACAGCUUGGAAGUGUUGGAGACCAUUGUUGAACCUAGGUCCUGUGAACUCCAGGCCUAGUACUCUAUCCAUUAAGCCACUUAGGGGCCCCUGAUGGUGUCUUUUUUUUUUUUUAAACACUUACCUUCCUACCCCCCCCCUUCCUUUUUAUAAUCAAUACUGUGUAUUGGUUCCAAGGCAGAAGAAUAGUGAGGGCUGGGCAAUGGGGACUGUGACUCAUCCAAGGUCACACAGCUAGGAAGUGUCUGAGGCCAGAUUUAAACAUAGGACCUCUCAUUUCUAGGCCUGUUUCUCAAUCCACCGAGCCACCCAGCUGCACUGUGAAGUCAUCUUGAAUCUGACACAUACUGAUUUUGUGUUCUAGGCAGCUUUU